GUGAUCUGCUUUUGACAGACUUGGCUAUCUGGGAAUUCAUAAAUAUGGAAUUCGACUAUGAAAGUGUAUGUUCCUACAUACCUUUCGUCCUUAAAACCAUUUUAAUAGUACUCUACCUAGUAGAAAUGGUUUUAUUAUUGUUCCAAAAGGAAAUUCCUGAAUCAAAACUUUUUGUACACGUCUGGGACUAUAUCCGCGCCAGAUUCAAGACUUAAGAGAGUCCUGAAUUGUCCUAUAUAUAUUGUAGUAACAUAGUAGCUAUAAUACAAGUGUUAUCCCGUGGAAUCUUUAGGAUGCUGCGAGGGAAGAUCGUCGAAAAUUAACUUGUAUUUUUUCUUUUAAAUAAACCACAACUCUUUCUUUAUUA